CCGGCGACUGUUAUAAGCUGAUGGGAAAUGGUUCUCUCUAGUGAUGAUCAUUUUGACUUGAUACACUUGAUGCUUAUGAGUGACUUACUUGUGAAUUGUAAUUGAUGUGUUUGUUAUGUGCGACUAAACUACUUGUCAUUGAGAUUGACUUAUUUGAUUUGUUAGAUUGUUGAUUUGUGAAGGUUGAAAUGUGAAUAUUGGAUAUGUGAGCCGUGUAUAUAAGAAUUGCUAGGUUGGGCUGAUUUCUGUGCAAGUUGUAGUUUUAAGAGGUUCGGUUGGAGUGUAAGGGGUAUUUGAUUUCUAGCUAGUUGUUUUGUUUAGUAGGUUGCUGAUCCGAACCGUAA
rnacentral:lncRNA from 1 species